rnacentral:rRNA from 1 species
CCUGGCAGCUAGCACUCUGCAAGUAAGUGUUGCGCCCAGUCAGUACCUGGAUGGGAUACCACCUGGGAAAGCUAUAGGUGGCUGCCGGAG